rnacentral:rRNA from 1 species
UAGCAUAUCAAUAAGCGGAGGAAAAGAAACCAACAGGGAUUGCCUCAGUAACGGCGAGUGAAGCGGCAACAGCUCAAAUUUGAAAUCUGGCCCUAGGCCCGAGUUGUAAUUUGCAGAGGAUGCUUUUGGUGCGGUGCCUUCCAAGUUCCCUAGAACGGGACGCCAGAGAGGGUGAGAGCCCCGUACAGUUGGACACCAAGCCUUUGUAAAGCUCCUUCGACGAGUCGAGUAGUUUGGGAAUGCUGCUCAAAAUGGGAGGUAUAUUUCUUCUAAAGCUAAAUACCGGCCAGAGACCGAUAGCGCACAAGUAGAGUGAUCGAAAGAUGAAAAGCACUUUGAAAAGAGGGUUAAACAGCACGUGAAAUUGUUAAAAGGGAAGCGCUUGUGACCAGACUUGCGUCCGGUGAAUCACCCAGCUCUCGCGGCUGGGGCACUUCGCCGGCUCAGGCCAGCAUCAGCUCGCUGUCGGGGACAAAAGCUUCGGGAACGUAGCUCUCUUCGGGGAGUGUUAUAGCCUGUUGCAUAAUACCCUUCGGCGGGCUGAGGUACGCGCUCCGCAAGGAUGCUGGCAUAAUGGUCAUCAGCGACCCGUCUUGAAACACGGACCAAGGAGUCAACCUUAUGUGCGAGUGUUCGGGUGUCAAACCCCUACGCGUAAUGAAAGUGAACGCAGGUGAGAGCUUCGGCGCAUCAUCGACCGAUCCUGAUGUUCUCGGAUGGAUUUGAGUAAGAGCAUAUAGGGUUGGACCCGAAAGAAGGUGAACUAUGCGUGUAUAGGGUGAAGCCAGAGGAAACUCUGGUGGAGGCUCGCAGCGGUUCUGACGUGCAAAUCGAUCGUCAAAUAUGCGCAUGGGGGCGAAAGACUAAUCGAACCUUCUAGUAGCUGGUUUCCGCCAA